GUUAGUACAAUUUACAGUUGAGUUGACAAAAAUCUGAAUUCAGAGUUGAGCAGACUCAAAAACAAAACUUAAAAUAUUUAGUUUAAUUGUCCAACUUAAAAUUGUAUCGAAGUUUGUUGCCUUGAAAUUUUGAGUUCACCCAACUUUUCUUUUUUUGCAGUGAAGAUGUCAUGGCCUACAAAUCAUAUUCUACAGACUAAAGAAAAAAAAUCUUGUUACAGGUAAUCUUUGGUACAGAUCCUCACACACAAAAGAAAUGCUGCUGAUCAGACUCCUGUAACUCUGCAGACAAACUGUACCAAGAGAAUAGUUCAUUUAAUCGCCAUCAGGAGGUUUGGCAUUGACUCGAGCUGUCAUUGGCCCAGAACUGGCUGACUCUGUGCUGUCAUUGCUGGCUAUGGAGUCCACACUGGUGUGAUCGAUGGACUUUGAGGACUAGAUGGAUCACUUUUCACUCACAAAGUCAAGGAUGAAGCUCUUCUAAAGAUGGUCAAACUCCAAGUCAGGAAGCAGACUGUUUCUAAUCCUAAUGAGGACUAUUACUUCACUGGACUGAUAAGGCACUAGUCUGUGACACUCAAUUUUCAAGACCCAAACCCUAUCAAGGAACUAUCAAGUGAUGGG